AGAAUCAACGCUGGCGGCGUGCCUAACACAUGCAAGUCGCACGAGAAAGGGGAGCAAUCCCUGAGUAAAGUGGCGCACGGGUGAGUAACACGUGAAUAAUCUACCUCCGAGUGGGGAAUAACUGAGAGAAAUCUUAGCUAAUACCGCAUAACACUUACGAGUCAAAGCAGCAAUGCGCUUGGAGAGGAGUUCGCGGCCGAUUAGUUGGUUGGCGGGGUAAUGGCCCACCAAGACGAUGAUCGGUA
rnacentral:rRNA from 1 species